rnacentral:rRNA from 1 species
UACGUAGGGCGCGAGCGUUGUCCGGAUUUAUUGGGCGUAAAGAGCUCGUAGGUGGUUUGUCGCGUUGUUCGUGAAAACUCACAGCUCAACUGUGGGCGUGCGGGCGAUACGGGCAGACUGGAGUACUGCAGGGGAGACUGGAAUUCCUGGUGUAGCGGUGGAAUGCGCAGAUAUCAGGAGGAACACCGGUGGCGAAGGCGGGUCUCUGGGCAGUAACUGACGCUGAGGAGCGAAAGCGUGGGGAGCGAACAGG